rnacentral:misc_RNA from 1 species
CCAAUUUAAGAAAAAUUGUGGCUGAUCUUCGGACUGAAGAGGAAGAGCCUGGAGGAGAUAGAAAGGUGAACCAAAGAUACGUGAGCCUAAAG